GGGGAAAAAAGAAAAAGAACAAAUCUUGCUGAGAUUUUCAAAACUCUCUGAAUCUUUCCAGCAGGCUUCCCAGCAGCGCUGUGUUUCAGUGAUCAACCAGCACCUGCAGGAAUUUCAGAGAAAGCAAGACAACAAUUGACCUGAAACUUUAUGAUUCUGCCUGACAUUAUGCUCUACCCACAGACACCUGCAGCAGGUGACACAGGAGCGUGUCCAGGAGGAGCCUUUCAAAAAUUAACCUGAGAGCAGCUGGAAAAGGUUGUGCUGCCUCUCUGCCUGUUGCAGCUGGCUGGCACCUCUGAGGAGGCUGCCACGUCACACCUUGCUGGAGUCGGGG